CCUACGGGAGGCAGCAGUGAGGAAUAUUGGUCAAUGGACGAGAGUCUGAACCAGCCAAGUAGCGUGAAGGAUGACUGCCCUAUGGGUUGUAAACUUCUUUUAUAUAGGAAUAAAACGAGGCACGUGUGCCUUUUUGCAUGUACUUUAUGAAUAAGGAUCGGCUAACUCCGUGCCAGCAGCCGCGGUAAUACGGAGGAUCCGAGCGUUAUCCGGAUUUAUUGGGUUUAAAGGGAGCGUAGAUGGGUUGUUAAGUCAGUUGUGAAAGUUUGCGGCUCAACCGUAAAAUUGCAGUUGAUACUGGCAGUCUUGAGUACAGUUGAGGUAAGCGGAAUUCGUGGUGUAGCGGUGAAAUGCUUAGAUAUCACGAAGAACCCCGAUUGCGAAGGCAGCUCACUAAACUGUGACUGACACUGAUGCUCGAAAGUGUGGGUAUCAAACAGGAUUAGAUACCCUUGUAGUC
rnacentral:rRNA from 1 species